rnacentral:rRNA from 1 species
CUACGGAGGGUGCGAGCGUUAAUCGGAAUUACUGGGCGUAAAGCGUACGUAGGCGGUUGGUUAAGUUAGAUGUGAAAGCCCCGGGCUUAACCUGGGAACUGCAUUUAAAACUGGCGAACUAGAGUUGAGUAGAGGGGAGUGGAAUUUCAGGUGUAGCGGUGAAAUGCGUAGAGAUCUGAAGGAACACCAGUGGCGAAGGCGACUCCCUGGACUCGAACUGACGCUGAGGUACGAAAGCGUGGGUAGCAAUCGGGAUUAGAAACCCCAGUAGUCC